AGGCUGUUCAGUCACGUGACAAUUCUUGCCGUCAAAAAAAAUCUCAGCGCGGCGGAAAUUGAGAACUUCAAAAUUUUUAAAGGUGAGCGUAUGGGAACCUUAGCAUUUGGGUACUUUUCUUGCACUAAACCAAUUUAGGCCGGUUUAUGUUGGGUACCUAUGCAAAGGUAGAUGAUUUUCUGAGGUAAACAAAGAUGAAAAUCCCGGUUUCUGUUUGAGGAAGUAAAAAAAUCAGGUAAAUAAAAACUUCAUAUUUUGAGAAAAAGUACUAGAUUUUAACUAUUUUUUGAUUUUCACUCAGGGAAACACUCUUCAAUGACACUUUUGUAAGUUUGUAUAAGAGUUUUUACAACAACGCAAUGUUUUAACAAAGAAAACAAAGUUUUUUUCUUUAUCCUUUUUUUUUUUUUUUUUGUGGGCGCCCCUUUUUGCCUCCAUUUCUAGAAUAUACUAAAUAAAGUUUGAAAGCUAGUUAGUUAUUUAGUUGGUUAGUUAGUUAGUUAGUUAAUAAAAGCUAAACCAUGUGCCAAGUACAGGUGUUUAUUUUGUUGAUUUUAGCCAACAGUUAAGAAGUUACUGCUCAGAUAUAAUUUUACACUCAAAAUUAAGCAUUGUAAAAUUAUGUUAAAUACAGUCUAGCUAGCUAGCUAGGUUGUUAUGACUUGCUCUAAUACAACUUUUUAUCCUUUCUUACAUUGUGUUUUGAAGGAAGAAAAAUCCUAGCCAGAAAAGCACGCACAUUUAAUGCUAGCUAGCUAACACUAGCAAAAUUCAGUAUGAUACAGACUUGUGUCUGGCCACCAUGGCCUAAAUAUAUGGUUACGAUAUGCAGGUUGUGGUUGCUUUUUCACUUAUGUUGGGGUCUGGUCUGUAAAUUGGAGAUAUAACGAAACAGCACAAUAUAUUUUGCUAGCAAUUAUAUAUUUUAUUUUAUCCAAUUGAGAUUUAACAUGAUACUUCAUAUAAUUUAUUUUGAUAAGUGUUGGUCAUACUAUCAUGCCUAUUUAUUUGCACUUUUUGUUUGACUGUUUUUGCUUUUUUUGAGCAUAUUUUGCAUUAGUCUGGAAAUUACAAAGAAUCUGGUCUAUAGAAUAUACUUUCAGAAUAUCUCAUGACACUCCCACUUUUUUUUAAAAAAAAUAGUUAUUCUAUUCUGAUUUUUUUCUGCUCCCACAUUUCCUUGAGAAGUUUUUCCUGUUUUGGUUAUAUUUUUGGUCUGUAAAUUACAAAAAAUGUGGUCUGUAAAAUGUAUUUAUUAAAGGAUCACGUGAUACCUCAUAAUUGUGUUUUCCUUAACUGAGAGACCUAAAAACCAUCCUAAUUAUUCAUAUUUACACACGUAGUCAAUGAUUUUUCACGAUUUUGGUCUUUUUUUGUCAAGUCUGUAAAUUACACUAAAUCUGGUCUGUAAAAUAUACAUUUCGAGUUUUAACAUGGUACUUUAUAUAUAUAAUUUAUUUUGAUAAGUAGUGAUCAUACUAUUAUGUCUCUUUAAUAAUAUUCGCAUUUUUUAUAUGAUCGUUUUUGCUAUUUUGGACAUAUUUUGCGCCUGGUCUGGAAAUUACAAAGAAUCUGGUCCGUAAAAUGUACUUCUUGAAGGAUCACGUGAUACCUUAUAAUUUAUUUUUAAACUAAGUGGUAUUUUAAGUAGCCUAGUUAUGCAUUUGCGUGUGUUUUAUUGACGAUUUCCUGUUAUAUUUCUAAAAUUUAUGACCAUAUUUGGUAAUGUAAUUUUGCGCAUGCGCAAUAGCAUUUGGUAAAAUAUACGACCUAAUCAUAUAGUACUUAUCUUUCUCUGUAUUUAUACCAAAUUUUAGCUUAACUCGAUAAUUUUUUAGCGAACUAUGCUGAUCUGCAUCAUACCAUCAUUUUGACCUUUUUCAGAGCACCAAAAAACGCUUAUUGGGGCCGAAAAUAUUGCCAGAGUUUAUAUGGAGGAAUGCGCAGGAAUUUGUCUAAUUUUUUACUCCAAUUAGGUAUCUUCAAAUCUUCAUAACUUUGGAACGAAAAAUGUUAGAAGGGUGAGUGACCCCUCGUUGGAAAGCACAAUAAUAGCUCUUUUACGUUAACAUAUAAGCUAAGCAAACAACGAUGUUGUUAAAAAUAGCCUGAACAGCCUACCAAUAGACAGAUUGCCAACUUUCCUACACUCACAAUGCUUCCUGAAUUGUCUAUUACCGGAGUCUAACCAGGACUUAGAUAAUGCUUGACAGUUUCUUUAAAAAAAGAAAUAUUUAUUUUACAUCUAAAAUUGACAUAUGUUUAGAUAUAUUAAAUUUUAACCUUGUACUUAUUUUGUAUAAGUAUAUAGAUAGAUUUUAGUAAAAAAAAUUUCAUAUAACUAUAUGCAUAUGGUA